GACAGAGGGUGCAAACGUUGUUCGGAAUUACUGGGCGUAAAGCGCGUGUAGGCUGUUUCGCAAGUCGGGUGUGAAAGCCCUGGGCUCAACCUAGGAAGUGCACUCGAAACUGCGAGACUUGAGUCCUGGAGAGGAAGGCGGAAUUCUCGGUGUAGAGGUGAAAUUCGUAGAUAUCGAGAGGAACACCGGUGGCGAAGGCGGCCUUCUGGACAGUGACUGACGCUGAGACGCGAAAGCGUGGGGAGCAAACAGGG
rnacentral:rRNA from 1 species